AUGUGGAAAUACAAUGAUUUAUUUAAGGAUGUAGUCAUUGUACUUAAUUCAUGCAUCUAUUAAUUUGUAUAAUCACACUAUACAUGUAUAAUAUACUAGUUAAUUUAAAUUUAUUUAAUCCAAAUUUUCAGCGAGAAACACUGUCCCACUUCACAUGCUGCUAAUGUAGCAGGAACAGUGAAAACCUUGAAUCAAGCUGUGCUAGCAAGUCAUACCACUCUAUGAGUGGAAGUUGCUAUUGAUUAGAAGUGAAGAAUAUUUUAAAUGAAGAUUCUCCAGAGUUACGCCACUAUCGUGAAGCACUCAAGACUAUCGUGAGGUGCCAUCUUACUAAAGCUGUAGUUCAA